rnacentral:sRNA from 1 species
CUGAGGAAAUCCUGUCUCAAAAAAGGAAUAUGGCCCAGUACACACAAUGGUUUUUUUUUUCAGCAUUGUUAGUGAAAUUCUGGUUCUAAGUUUAGAACAUUACUGUAUGGGGUGCCUUAAAAUUCUGUGGCUUUUUAACAGUUGCCAGCAAAACCUUUUAAAAGUUGGCUUUCUGGUAACGGGCUCAUUUUGUACCACGCCAUAAUCUUCUGUUGUAAAGUGCGGUCACCAACUCCACAUUGAAUAUAGAAGGAAGCUAGACUCUAGGAUUUAUACUGGAAAUAAUGUGAAGCCCGAUCUUGCAAGGAUGAAGCAAGGCCUUGCUCUUAAAACUAAAACCGCUCAGGAGUAGUACUAAAUACUCUUUGGUACCAGGACACUGGAGCCUUUUCCACUUACUGCCUGUCAACCAUGUCUUCCAUUUAAAAAUGAAGACCUCUCAGGGAAGAAACGAGCUAAUACAGAGAACAAUUCAUGACCCAGUGAAGUAGGAACUGUUUAUUAUAAAAGAUUGAUACUGCGUCACCGUGCAAAGACGGGCAUCCUCUGACAUGCCGGGUUUCUCCCAUAAGCAAGGCUCUACUUAAGCUGGUGAGCUCACCAUAGUGAGGGCGUUGGAAUGCAGUGCUGACUCAGAACUAAUUGUAGCUGUGUGAUCUCACUGCCCCAGGUAAGGCAUGGUAUAAAAGGUAUCAUCAAGGCUGCUUUCCCCCUGUCAAAACGUCACCCAGUCUUCUGUUUAGAAGCUGGCCCUGUACUAGUCUGUAGGGUGCUUAGGUGACGCUGUGUCUUUGAAUUAGGCACCAGCGUCAGCACCUCCGGGCUCAUUUCCCUUUUCCUUUUAUCUUACGCAAAGUGAUUUUAUUAAGUUCUUAAAAUAUUAUUACUACAAGGUUACUUUGGUUUAAGCCAUGAAGAUAGACUUCCAUUCCCUUCAGACCGUGAGGAGAGGCUUCUCAGACUCAUUUGAGUUAAAGUACCCCCGUGUGAGGAAAAUCGGAGGCCUGCGUAGCGCAUCUUCUACUCAGGAGAAGCAGGAGGCAGUUUGGCUUCUUCAGACGAGAUGAAGCAGAAUACUUCAGAAAGUGAUUUCGUUUCUCAAAGUCACUGGUUUGAGAAGAAUCUCCCGUAAGUUGCAAAAGUCCUGGUCGCAUGGGGUCCAGGUGCAAGAGACAUACUUCUCCCUCAGGAAAUGACUUGUGCAACCCAGACUUACUCUAAUAAUAAUUAAAGUUAAAAUGUCGUCUCCUCAAAUGAGCUCUUAGAGUUCCUUUGUUGUUUAUAGUAAUGAAUGUGACUGAGGACCAAGGACACAUGACAGUUUCGAGGUAUUAAAAACGUAUCAUUCUGCAAUAAAGCUAUGUUAUAGGAAAUGGACGAUUAUCAUGUACUGAUAUAUUCAGCAUUAAGAAUAAAUCCAGAUCUUUUUUCUAUUGGCGACUUUUAUAAUCUCAAGCCCCCUUAUGACGAUACAUUCUUUCUGUACGUCCAGUGCUCUGUAAGGGACUGUGAAACAGACACCAUUAAGAACCCAAGAGAAAGUACAGGAGAUGGCUCAGCUGUUGGAAGAAAGUAUUCAAAUAAACUGAGAGGCAGGAAAUGGAGCCAUUUUGGUCCAGGAGAUCUGAUUCAAAUGACAGUAGACAGCAAAACUGUGUAAGUGUGUGACCCAGGGAAGCCUCACAGGACAAAACCCUGCUUUUACAUUUCCCAUUCAAUCCUCCUCGGACCUCGAGGUCCCAAAGACAAAGCCAAGGAUUCUGUUUCACCAGAGCAAGCCUGAGCAAGAGUACCUGCUGAGCGCAGAGGGGAAGUGUGGCCCCACCCACCAGUGACUGGUACACCAGGAGAUCUUACCUUGGUAGAAUUAAAGCCGCACAGGGUGGUCACAAGAGAACAUCUCCAGAGCAGUUUUGAAAGAGAGCAGGGAUGUGUAAAUGUCAGGAGGAUGAAGGCUAUGUAAAUCCUGCAAAUGGUUCAGAACAGAACUUGGGGUACAGGGCUCAUGCAUUGAGUAUUCUGAACCACCAUGAAGAACUUUAUGCUUUACAAAGCAUCCGAGCCUAAGGGCAAACCUCUUAGCAUGCGCAGGUCCUGCGUUUGAUCUCAGCAACCAAAUAGAAAGCAACUCCUUUUUAAAAAUCUCAGAGGUCCAGCUGGGUGUGUAAGAGCACAGCUCUCCUGGAGGAUUGGCUGCCUGCACUCACAUGGUGGUUCACAGCCGCCUACAACCAGUUCCAGGGGAUCCGACGCCUUUUCUCGAGGUACCAGGCACACAGGUGACGCACGUACAUAUAUGCAGGCAAAACACUGGUGCAUAUAAAAGUAAGUCAACCUAAAAAUGUUAGAGUGUGUCUGUUCAUCUGUCCGUCUGUGCGUACAUAGUACAUACAUGUACUGGGUAUUCGUCCUCCCUUCCACUUAGAGUCAGGGUCUCUCUCUCUCUUUUUUUUUUUUUUCUUUUCUUCUGCAUACACUGGGCUUGCUGGCCCAUAAACUUCCAGUGAUCAUUGCCGUCUCCAUCUCCCAUCCCCAUGCUGGUGUGCUGGCCCGAAGACAUCACUGCCGUGUCUGUCUUUACACGGACUCUGGGAAUUCAGUCUCGGGUCCUUGCACUUGCAUGCCAGGUGCUGUAUGAGCCACCUGCGUCCUCAGUACCAAGUCACCCUUUCGUUUCCUGUUUUAGAUGUGUCUGUCUGGUAUCACAUUCCCAAACAGGUUUCAGUACUGCAGUGUUUUUAAAACAAACAACUUGGGUUGGGGAUUUAGCUCAGUGGUAGAGCGCUUGCCUACCAAGCGCAAGGCCCUGGGUUCGGUCCCCAGCUCCGAAAAAAAAAAAGAAAAAAAAAAAAACAAACAACUUUUAGUUAUAUAAACACCUAUCUUCUGUUUAUAAGCAAUAUCUUGUUUCCAGAGAGCUGGAUAAAACCUUCCUCUGGGUACUUAAGGGACUGGUUUCAAGGAUGUGGGGAGAGGGAGCAGUGUCUCCUCCCGGCCUCUGUACAGACAGGUGCUGGGGAAUUAGAAAUGACAGCACGGGUUCCCUCACUACAACAGUGUGUGCGUGACAGCUUUCAAAGCUCUUCAGGGAGUUAGUUGAGUUAACUGUGUGGCCAUUUUGCCUUAUGAUAAAAAGUAUAAUAGCACAGCUAGGGUGCUUUAAAAGGAAGUUUGCCAAAUAUAAUUUCCAUCGCUUGGACUUAGAGGGUAGUUAUGGAAGGUGAUCGCACUGUAGAGCUGAAGCGGGGCCCAGGAAGUCUUGUCAACCUACUCCUCUUUCUUCCCACAUAGGUCCCCCUGAAACCCGAGUGCUCAGUAAACUGGUGUUUAUUAAAAACAGCAAACUACUGGUUCGGUAGUCAUGGCUAGUUGGUAGGUUUGGUAGUCAUGGCUAGUUGGUAGGUUUGGUAGUCAUGGCUAGUUGGUAGGUUUGGUAGUCAUGGCUAGUUGGUAGGUUUGGUAGUCAUGGCUAGUUGGUAGGUUUGGUAGUCAUGGCUAGUUGGUAGGUUUGGUAGUCAUGGCUAGUUCAUGGAAUUGUGUGCUUCAGCUCUUGCUUUGAGAUCAGUUAUUGUAUUCAGAAUCUUUGAGAUCAGUUAUUCAGAAUCUUUGAGAUCAGUUAUUCAGAAUCUUCUUUGCUUUACAUUUGCAAGUUCUGUUUAAAGUAUCUAGGUUUUUGGUUUAUUCUACACAUACUUACAUACUUGCCUCGUCUCUCACAGUUCAACGUAAGGCCUUUAUGUCCCGGUCAGCUGUUGGCGAUCAUGCUUGCCCAUGGUUCUCCCUGAUGCUCUGAUGGAAGGAGAGCAGACCAAGCCCCAGGCUUACCCUGCCAGCUCUGUCCCUUGGCUUUCUGCUAGGCACUACUUCCUCUAGUCUACGUUCAGAGCAGUCACCUUAAGUAUUUCAAACCUUCAUGCACUGCUUUUUGCUUUUCGUCUUUGAGGCAGGCAGGGCCUUCAAACUCAAACGUCCUGCCCUGGUGCCCAAGUGCUAGAAGACAGUGCAAGCUCCCUCCUCGCUCCCCAGCUGCACCCUUCAUAGACUUUCCAUUCUCGUGAAAACCGUGCAGUCAACCUGACCUUCCUGUACCCUAUCCAUAAAAUUACAUACUUGAGUUUCUAAAUGAGACAGUGGGUUUGCUUUAUGAGAGAGAGAGAGAGAGAGAGAGAGAGAGAGAACUCUGUAUUCCAUUUAAUAUUGAAAAAAAACCAGCCUGCUUACCUUUCAAAUAACAAAUGAUUUAUUUGCUAAUACUUUAAAGCUUACCAUUGAGAGAAUUGAGAGAUCAUUUAUAAAAAUAAAAGGUGGGAUUUGGUAGGUCUAGUCUGAAGUAUCCUGAUCUCAAUCGAAUCAUCAUCAUUUAGACAGUGUUAUUGGGAAAUCAUCUAAGUUAUAGCAUCCAGUCUACUCAGUGAAGAUUACGGUCACUGACACAGACCUUUGACAUGUUGGCUGGAACGUGGGGUACGAUAGACCUUUGCAUCAUCUGACUUUGAAUAGAUAUGGAUGUGUGGGUGGGCAUGGCCUGCUACUCUACUGUAAGCCCUAACAGCAAAAACCAGAUUUCCUGGGAAAGGCGUUCAGGCUCAAAACUGCAGCAGAGAAGCCCUGCCCCAUAAGCUGCAGUCUUGAGACUUCUAAAUUUCUCUUUAAACUGACCUCUGUGCAUGUGUUACAUGAGUUCAUUGUGUGCUGAACCAAGAUACUGGUAUUUCUGCCCAUCUGGGCUGAUAUGCUGGCCCCCAGAAACUCAAGUUUUCCCCAACAUUGGUGCAAAUCUUUUAAGUGAUAAAUUUGAAUGUAUUUUUGAAAAUCCAUUCCGAUUUGUGAGAUUAAAGAAAGAACGCUAAACCUUGGUUUGUUUUUUUUUUUUCAUGGAGACUAAACCUGGAUCUUGCUACAUCCCCAGCUCUUAAGACUGUCUUAGAAAAAUAUGUCUUCUCUAUUGCUUGUUUUGAUUUUUGGGAGUUUUAAGGAGAACGACAGGGAAGGGUGACGAAGUAAAGGUUGAAGUUGAGGGGAGAUCUCAGCACGUUCUGAAACGAACCCUGGGUGUGUUGUUAUUUGCUCAAUUCUUCACUGAUCUAAAGGCAAAGUAACCACCGUCCUUAAAAUGCCCAUAAGUGAUAAAGUGGACUGGUUUGCUAAUGUCUCGUAUUAACCCUUCACCUCUAAGCUGCCUCAUCCCAUAGUGAUCCACAGCAAUCCACCCCUAAGUGUCUCUAUGAAGACAUGGGAGGCAUCUGUGCGUCAAAGGUGCAGAAACAAGCAUAGUACAGCUGUCUCCUAACCAGAGAGAAUGGAUGUUCUAUUGUUCAGUUAUAGCAUUAAAGCUCAAAUCACUGGCUUGUCAAGGAG